CACUGGUACAAAUCCACUAAAUGUUACUACUACUAUGAUUAGACUAGCUCAAGAUUAAUUCUUUUUUUGCAUCUAAGAAUUUUAAUACCAAAAUUGGUACAAGAAGCAGUGGUUUUUUUUAAGAUUUUAUUUAUUUAUUUGAGAGACACAGAGAGAGAGCACAAGCGGGGGAGAAGCAGAGGGAGAGGGAGAAGCAGGCUCCCUGCUGAGCAGGGAAUGGGUCACAGGAUUCGAUCCCAGGACCAUGGGAUCGUGACCAGAGCUGAAGGCAGACGCCCAACCAACUGAGCCACCCAGGCACCCCAAGAAGCAGUGUUUUAAGUGAAAGAUUUUCAGAAAAAAUGUGGAACUAGUUGAGUAAAGUAGGGAGGGGAUCAUUGAGGACUCCCCCCACCGAGGGAAAUUGCUUUUCGGUCCUUAUUGGGAUUAGAAGAGGAAGAACAGUUUUGAUGGAAUGGUAAUAAUUCAAUUUUGGACAUAUUAGAAAUGAAUUACCUAAGGAUAGACAAAUGAAAUGCCUAAGGAUAGACAAAUGAAUAUUUUUCCUGGAGUUUCUAAGAGAGGUCUGGGUUGAAAUGGAGUUAGAAGUCAUCAGCAUACAAACAGUAGUUGAAACCAUAAAAGUGGACAAAAUUAGUUGGAAUUUGUAGAGUAUAAAGCAAAAAUGGCUGAGGACCACACAUUUAAAGCUUGGCAAGAAGAUGGCUAACAGCAGAAGAGGAAGGGAAGGAAUCCAAAGGAAAACCUGAAGAGAGUGGUGUCAUGAAGCCAAAGGAGAAGAAAAUUUCAAUGAAGGACCCUGAGGAUGGGAGCUGUGAUCCUGCACUUCCAACAAGUUACCAGAUGAAGCCAAUUCUGCUGGUCCUCAGAUUCACUCUGAGCAAAGAUACUCAAAGAUGCUGCUCAAUGAGCAUCUACUUUGUGAAUAUCAUAUAGAGAACACAAGCAGAGGGGAGCGGCAGACAGAGGCAGAGGGAGAAACAGGCUCCCUGUUUCUGAGGAGCAGGGAGCCCAACGCGGGACUCGAUCCCAGGACCCCAGCAUCAUCACCCCGAACCAAAGGCAGACGUUUAACGACUGAGCCACCCAGGCACCCACGAUAGGAUUUUUAAUACAUAUUAUAUAUUGACAUUUAUUUUAAAACAUUUUUGUUUCUCAUUUUAUGGGGAAUAACAAAUGCUUUUCCUUGUAACAUAACGUUGGUUUUUGG